ACACAGAUUCAUUCACGCCACCAUUGUCAACCCAUCUCUCACAGAUCCAGAGCAGCCCAUCCUCUCACUAGCGACCCCCCUCCAAUCCCUCUCAUCUCCGGCGAUCCCACUCCUAAUCGUUCUCUUCUUCAGUGACCCACCCCGAAACCCUCUCUUAUACUGCCAAUUGGGUGCAUGUACGCGAGGAAGAUAACAAAUUUGGGUGAAUGGAGCACAAAAAUCCAUCUUCCAUAUAUUUUAAUGACCCAAUUAGGUGCACGUAUGCUAGCAUCCAUUAUCUAUGAUGUCUUUUCGAGAUAUUUCAGACUUUCAUCAACUUAUUUUGUGGUGAGAAGUGGGGGAUUGGGGUGGGGUCACCGGAGAAGUAAAGAAUAAGGGUGGGUCGCCGGACAAGUGAUGGAAUGGAGAUGCAUUCUGCACAUAGGCGAGGAAUGGGUAUGGGUAAGGGAUGGAAAAGCAUUUCGUUUUCCAUUUGCUUCCUCAAACCCGAGAGAUUUCUGCGAUUGCAAAGAGAGAGAGAGAUGGGGUGUCCUUUAGGUGCCCUUUAAUUGUCACUUUUGUGAUUUGUCCAUUUUGAUUGUUGUGUGACUCAUUCUCACGACCGUUCUAUGCACAAGGUCAGUCUCCAUCCGGUACAUUUGUCCAUUCUUCUGGAGUGGAGCACUAUCUUUCUGACAGCAUAAAUGCUAUGAGAAACUACUAUGGAGACAAACAGUUGUUUACUCCGUUCUAGAUAUGUUUUUCUUUAGUAUUUUAGAGGGAUUCUUAACUAUUCCCCAUUGUAAUCUUUACCUUUGUAUCUAUCUCUCUCAAAAGACGAUGAGAGUAGCAACUGUUAAAGAUGGGAGCUUUGAAUAAUUCACAUAAACCUCUAAUUUCAAAUUUCUGAAGCGCUCCGGCCAAAUUGAGCUUCCUGACUGGACCGACAUUGUGAAGACUGCCACAUUCAAGGAGCUUGCAGCAUAUGAGCCUGAUUCGUACUACAUUAGAUCUGCAUUCAUGGCAAGUAAAAUCUACUUGAGGGGUGGUCUUGGUGUUGGUGCCUUCCGCAGGAUCUAUGGAGGGAGCAAGAGGAACUGAAGGAAUACUGAGAAGUAUGCAACUCUUUUUGCUUUGCUUUAUCAUUUUUGUACUAAGCUUCUUCUGGACACAACCGCAUGGUAGUAGCAAAAGUUGGGUUAUACA